GACUAACGCUGGCGGCGUGCCUAACACAUGCAAGUCGAACGAAGCAGCAAUGCUUAGUGGCAGACGGGUGAGUAACGCGUAGAUAAUGUGCCCUCUUGCGGGGGAUACCGUUUCGAAAGGAACGUUAAUACCGCAUAAAGUCCUUAGGAGGCAUCUCUUAGGGAUCAAACUUCCGGGGCGGGAGGAGCAAUCUGCGUACUAUCAGCUAGUUGGUGGGGUAAAGGCCUACCAAGGCAUCGAUCAGUAGCUGGUCUGAGAGGACGACCAGCCACACUGGGACUGAGACACGGCCCAGACUCCUACGGAGGCAGCAGUGGGAAUUUUGGGACAAUGGGGGCAACCCUGAUCCAGCAAUGCCGCGUGAGUGAAGAAGGCC
rnacentral:rRNA from 1 species